rfam:Dethiobacter alkaliphilus AHT 1 ctg34, whole genome shotgun sequence.
CGGACGGUAUUGCGGGGCAAACCGUACCAACAAAACGUACUGAAAACAGUAUACCAAUUUAACGAAACCCCAUAGCACUGCUUGGAGCCAAUGCGGCCCGGGACAGGAGG